rnacentral:rRNA from 1 species
GACGAACGCUGGCGGCGUGCUUAACACAUGCAAGUCGAACGGUGAAGCGAGUGCUUGCACUCGUGGAUCAGUUGCGAACGGGUGAGUAACACGUGAGUAACCUGCCCAUCACUCUGGGAUAAGCACUGGAAACGGUGUCUAAUACUGGAUACGACCAACCCCUGCUUGGGGUGCCGGCGGUAAGAUUUAUCGGUGAUGGAUGGACUCGCGGCCUAUCAGCUUGUUGGCGGGGUAAUGGCCCACCAAGGCGACGACGGGUAGCCGGCCUGAGGGGGUGACCGGCCAAACUAGGCCUGAGACACGACACAGACUCCUACGGGAGGCAGCGGUGGGGAAGAUUACACAGUGGGCGAAAGCCUGGUGCAGCGACGCCGCGUGGGGGAUGACGGCCUUCGGGUUGGAAACCUCUUUCAGCAGGGAAGAAGCGAAAGUGACGGUACCUGCAGAAGAAGCACCGGCUAACUACGUG